rnacentral:rRNA from 1 species
CUGGUCUUGACAUCCUCGGAACCCUGCAGCGAUGUGGGGGUGCCUUCGGGAGCCGAGAGACAGGUGCUGCAUGGCUGUCGUCAGCUCGNUGUCGUGAGAUGUUGGGUUAAGUCCCGCAAACGAGCGCAACCCUUGUCCCUAGUUGCCAUCAUUUAGUUGGGAACUCUAGGGAGACCGCCGGUGACAAACCGGAGGAAGGUGGGGAUGACGUCAAGUCAUCAUGGCCCUUAUGACCAGGGCUACACACGUGCUACAAUGGCUGGUACAAAGGGCUGCCAACCCGCGAGGGGGAGCCAAUCCCAGAAAGCCAGUCGUAGUCCGGAUCGGAGUCUGCAACUCGACUCCGUGAAGUCGGAAUCGCUAGUAAUCGCGAAUCAGCAACGUCGCGGUGAAUACGUUCCC